rnacentral:rRNA from 1 species
GAUGAACGCUGGCGGCGUGCCUAAUACAUGCAAGUCGAGCGAACGGACGAGAAGCUUGCUUCUCUGAUGUUAGCGGCGGACGGGUGGGUAACACGUGGAUAACCUACCUAUAAGACUGGGAUAACUUCGGGAAACCGGAGCUAAUACCGGAUAAUAUUUUGAACCGCAUGGUUCAAAAGUGAAAGACGGUCUUGCUGUCACUUAUAGAUGGAUCCGCGCUGCAUUAGCUAGUUGGUAAGGUAACGGCUUACCAAGGCAACGAUGCAUAGCCGACCUGAGAGGGUGAUCGGCCACACUGGAACUGAGACACGGUCCAGACUCCUACGGGAGGCAGCAGUAGGGAAUCUUCCGCAAUGGGCGAAAGCCUGACGGAGCAACGCCGCGUGAGUGAUGAAGGUCUUCGGAUCGUAAAACUCUGUUAUUAGGGAAGAACAUAUGUGUAAGUAACUGUGCACAUCUUGACGGUACCUAAUCAGAAAGCCACGGCUAACUACGUGCCAGCAGCCGCGGUAAUACGUAGGUGGCAAGCGUUAUCCGGAAUUAUUGGGCGUAAAGCGCGCGUAGGCGGUUUUUUAGUCUGAUGUGAAAGCCCACGGCUCAACCGUGGAGGGUCAUUGGAAACUGGAAAACUUGAGUGCAGAAGAGGAAAGUGGAAUUCCAUGUGUAGCGGUGAAAUGCGCAGAGAUAUGGAGGAACACCAGUGGCGAAGGCGACUUUCUGGUCUGUAACUGACGCUGACGUGCGAAAGCGUGGGGAUCAAACAGGAUUAGAUACCCUGGUAGUCCACGCCGUAAACGAUGAGUGCUAAGUGUUAGGGGGUUUCCGCCCCUUAGUGCUGCAGCUAACGCAUUAAGCACUCCGCCUGGGGAGUACGACCGCAAGGUUGAAACUCAAAGGAAUUGACGGGGACCCGCACAAGCGGUGGAGCAUGUGGUUUAAUUCGAAGCAACGCGAAGAACCUUACCAAAUCUUGACAUCCUUUGACAACUCUAGAGAUAGAGCCUUCCCCUUCGGGGGACAAAGUGACAGGUGGUGCAUGGUUGUCGUCAGCUCGUGUCGUGAGAUGUUGGGUUAAGUCCCGCAACGAGCGCAACCCUUAAGCUUAGUUGCCAUCAUUAAGUUGGGCACUCUAAGUUGACUGCCGGUGACAAACCGGAGGAAGGUGGGGAUGACGUCAAAUCAUCAUGCCCCUUAUGAUUUGGGCUACACACGUGCUACAAUGGACAAUACAAAGGGCAGCGAAACCGCGAGGUCAAGCAAAUCCCAUAAAGUUGUUCUCAGUUCGGAUUGUAGUCUGCAACUCGACUACAUGAAGCUGGAAUCGCUAGUAAUCGUAGAUCAGCAUGCUACGGUGAAUACGUUCCCGGGUCU